rnacentral:piRNA from 1 species
UGAUGUCCCCCAACUGUGAGCUGCAAA